rnacentral:rRNA from 1 species
AGAUUGAACGCUAGCGGGAUGCUUUACACAUGCAAGUCGAACGGCAGCGCGGACUUCGGUCUGGCGGCGAGUGGCGAACGGGUGAGUAAUAUAUCGGAACGUGCCCAGUAGCGGGGGAUAACUACGCGAAAGCGUGGCUAAUACCGCAUACGCCCGUACGGGGGAAAGGGGGGGAUUCUUCGGAACCUCUCACUAUUGGAGCGGCCGAUAUCAGAUUAGCUAGUUGGUGAGGUAAGGCUCACCAAGGCGACGAUCUGUAGCUGGUUUGAGAGGACGACCAGCCACACUGGGACUGAGACACGGCCCAGACUCCUACGGGAGCAGCAGUGGGAAUUUGGACAAGUGGGGGAAACCCUGGAUCCAGCCACUCCCGCGUGUGCGAUGUACGGCCGUUCGGGUUAGUAAAGU